rnacentral:rRNA from 1 species
UACUUAGGAAAUGGAAAGCGGCGGACGAGCGAGUAACACGUAAGUAACUGCCCCGUACUCGGGGAUAACUGCCCGAAAGGGUAGCUAAUACCGGAUGGUCCCGCAAGGGUAAAGAUUUAUCGGUACGGGAGGUGCUUGCGGCUUAUCAGUUAGUUGGUGGGGUAAAGGCCUACCAAGACUAUGACGAGUAGCUGGUGUGAGAGCAUGACCAGCCGCGAUGGGACUGAGACACGGCCCAUACUCC